GAUGAACGCUAGCGGCAGGCUUAAUACAUGCAAGUCGUGGGGCAGCAUGAGUGUAGCAAUACAUUUGAUGGCGACCGGCAAACGGGUGCGGAACACGUACAGAACCCUCUUUCGAGCGGGGAAUAGCCCAGAGAAAUUUGGAUUAAUACCCCAUAGUAUGUCGAAGAGGCAUCUUUUUGAUAUUAAAGAUUUAUCACUUGAAGAUGGGUGUGCGGCUGAUUAGGUAGUUGGCGGGGUAACGGCCCACCAAGCCGACGAUCAGUAACUGGUGUGAGAGCACGACCAGUCACACGGGCACUGAGACACGGGCCCGACUCCUACGGGAGGCAGCAGUAAGGAAUAUUGGUCAAUGGACGAAAGUCUGAACCAGCCAUGCCGCGUGGAGGAUGAAGGUCCUCUGGAUUGUAAACUUCUUUUAUAUGGGACGAAAAAGGGUUUUUCUAAACCAACUGACGGUACCAUAUGAAUAAGCACCGGCUAACUCCGUGCCAGCCGCCGCUGUAAAAC
rnacentral:rRNA from 1 species